AAACAAAGAAAAUGUAGCGUUUCUAUUAAAUCUUUGGAUUAAAUAUGGUUGUGUAAUGAAGUAAAUGUCAUGUGUAUACACUUAACAUUCUAAAAAUUUGUUUCUUUUACUUUAGAAAAUUCAUAGAAAUGGGUUUCAUUGAUGAAAAAAGAAUAGCCAUAUGGGGCUGGUCCUAUGGAGGAUACGUUUCAUCACUGGCCCUUGCAUCUGGAACUGGUCUUUUCAAAUGUGGGAUAGCAGUGGCUCCAGUCUCCAGCUGGGAAUAUUACGCGUCUGUCUACACAGAGAGAUUCAUGGGUCUCCCAACAAAGGAUGAUAAUCUUGAGCACUAUAAAAAUUCAACUGUGAUGGCAAGAGCAGAAUAUUUCAGAAAUGUAGACUAUCUUCUCAUCCACGGAACAGCAGAUGAUAAUGUGCACUUUCAAAACUCAGCACAGAUUGCUAAAGCUCUG
rnacentral:sRNA from 1 species